rnacentral:rRNA from 1 species
AUACGGAGGAUGCAAGCGUUAUCCGGAUUUAUUGGGUUUAAAGGGUGCGUAGGCUGUUUGUCAAGUCAGGGGUGAAAUACCUGAGCCUAACUCAGGAACUGCCUUUGAUACUGGCAGGCUGGAAUACGGAUGCCGUGGGAGGCAUGAGUAGUGUAGCGGUGAAAUGCAUAGAUAUUACUCAGAACACCGAUUGCGAAGGCAUCUCACGAAUCCGUCAUUGACGCUGAGGCACGAAAGCGUGGGGAUCAAACAGGAUUAGAUACCCUGGUAGUCCACGCAGUAAACGAUGAUAACUAACCGUCGGCGAUAGAGUGUCGGUGGCCAAGCGAAAGCGAUAAGUUAUCCACCUGGGGAGUACGUUCGCAAGAAUGAAACUCAAAGGAAUUGACGGGG